rnacentral:rRNA from 1 species
UGUCCCAGCCGCCGCGGUAAUACGUAGGGUGCAAGCGUUACUCGGAAUCACUGGGCGUAAAGCGUGCGCAGGCGGUUUUGUAAGCCAGAUGUGAAAUCCCCGAGCUUAACUUGGGAACUGCGUUUGGAACUACAAGACUAGUAGUGUGUCAGAGGGGGGUAGAAUUCCAGGUGUAGCGGUGAAAUGCGUAGAGAUCUGGAGGAAUACCGGUGGCGAAGGCGGCCCCCUGGACAAAGACUGACGCUCAGGUGCGAAAGCGUGGGGAGCAAACAGGAUUAGAUACCCUGGUAGUCCACGCUGUAAACGAUGUCGAUUUGGAGUUUGUGCCAUUAUGAGCGUGGGUUCCGAAGCUAACGCGAUAAAUCGACCGACUGGUGAGUACGGCCGCAAGGUUAAAACUCAAAUGAAUUGACGGGGGCCCGCACAAGCGGUGGAGUAUGUGGUUUAAUUCGAUGAUACGCGAGGAACCUUACCUGGGCUAGAAUGCUGGGAGACCGCUAGUGAAAGCUAGUUUUGUAGCAAUACACUGCCAGUAAGGUGCUGCAUGGGCCGUCGUCAGCUCG